rnacentral:rRNA from 1 species
GACGUAGGGCGCGAGCGUUGUCCGGAUUUAUUGGGCGUAAAGAGCUCGUAGGCGGCUCGUUGCGUCGGCUGUGAAAACCCGCAGCUCAACUGUGGGCUUGCAGCCGAUACGGGCGGGCUAGGAUUCGGUAGGGGAGACUGGAGUUCCUGGUGUAGCGGUGAAAUGCGCAGAUAUCAGGAGGAACACCGGUGGCGAAGGCGGGUCUCUGGGCCGAUAUCGACGCUGAGGAGCGAAAGCGUGGGGAGCGAACAGG